AACGAACGAACGAAUGUAUUCCUUCCACUCGUGAGCUCAUUUACCAUUGUCACAUAUGGUAAAUGUCCAGGCCUUGUGACCCUGGAUGGGCACUUGAAAGGAAAGAAUACACACACACAAAGAUUUAUUCAACCAUUAAAAGAGAACGAUUGAACAACUGCGCAUGAACGAACGUUCAAAGUGAAUGCCUCUUGUUAGCCACCUACAAAAUUAUUAAUUAUUUCACUUUGAACGUUCGUUCAUGCGCAGUUGUUCAAUCGUUCUCUUUUAAUGGUUGAAUAAAUCUUUGUGUGUGUGUAUUCUUUCCUUUUAAGUGCCCAUCCAGGGUCACAAGGCCUGGACAUUUACCAUAUGUGACAAUGGCAAAUGAGCUCACGAGUGGAAGGAAUACAUUCGUUCGUUCGUUUAUUAUUAUUAGGUAUAUACCUAGAAAAG